rnacentral:sRNA from 1 species
ACCUAUUUGGAAUCAAGAUGUUUUGGAUAGGUGAAAGCAUCCCGCUACCGAUCAAGGAUUGCCUGAGGUAGCCAGCGAACGAGUCGACCCCGAAAUGACGUAAUAGGCCACGGUGCUCCAGCUGCUAGGCACCGAGUAAGACCGAAUGAUAAUACGGGUUGAUGUCUCCCACUGAGGUGGACGUUCUGAGAUUCUGCAAAUGAACUCAGGGCGCUAAAGGGAGAGCGUAGGG